CAGCAGCCGCGGUAAUACCGGCGGCCCGAGUGGCGGUCACUAUUAUUGGGCUUAAAACGUCCGUAGCCGGGUUGGGAAGUCCUCCGGGAAAUCUGGCCGCUUAACGGUCAGAAUGCCGGAGGAUACUCCCAGCCUAGGGAGCGGGAGAGGCCGAGGGUAUUCCCGGAGUAGGGGUGAAAUCCUAUAAUCCCGGGAGGACCACCUGUGGCGAAGGCGCUCGGCUGGGACGCGUCCGACGGUGAGGGACGAAGGCCAGGGGAGCAAACCGGAUUAGAUACCCGGGUAGUCCUGGCUGUAAACGAUGCGGACUUUGUGUCGGACAAGCUAUGAGCUUGUCCGGUGCCGGAGGGAAACCGUUAAGUCCGCCGCCUGGGGAGUACGGCCGCAAGGCUGAAACUUAAAGGAAUUGGCGGG
rnacentral:rRNA from 1 species